rnacentral:rRNA from 1 species
UACGUAGGGUGCAAGCGUUGUCCGGAAUUAUUGGGCGUAAAGAGCUCGUAGGCGGUUUGUCGCGUCUGCUGUGAAAACUCGGGGCUCAACUCCGAGCUUGCAGUGGGUACGGGCAGACUAGAGUGCGGUAGGGGAGACUGGAAUUCCUGGUGUAGCGGUGGAAUGCGCAGAUAUCAGGAGGAACACCGGUGGCGAAGGCGGGUCUCUGGGCCAUUACUGACGCUGAGGAGCGAAAGCGUGGGGAGCGGACAGG